CAGAUAUAGUUUAGUGGUAAAACUCCAGCCUUCCAAGCUGGUUAUGCGGGUUCGAUUCCCGCUAUCUG
rnacentral:tRNA from 1 species